GCCCCCAUCGACUAGCGGCCUAGGUCACCACCCUUUCAAGGUGGCUACACGGGUUCGAAUCCCGUUGGGGGCA
rnacentral:tRNA from 1 species